rnacentral:lncRNA from 1 species
CUUUUCUGUUCUUUCUAAUCUAGUCUUCCUUUCCCUGUCUUUCAGUGAUCAUCCUCCCACAUCCUUUGAUGUGGGAGAACUGCGGCUGGGCUGAGUUGUAAGGGAUGCACUGCUGCAGAAGCCAGAGUCUGACCUCAUCUCCACCUGGUCCAGGAGGGGAGACUGAGGGAAGAGCUUAGAUUCAAAGCCAAGAACAUCUUGGCAGGAUGUGGCUUUUCAGGAGGUCCUGGAACAAAAGACUGCUGAUUUGGAAGUUGAGAUUUCAUAUUCAUCAGAGGCACAGAGGGAACUGAGGCAUGACUCAAGGGAUGUGAUUGAGUCAUAGCAGACAGAGACUCGUCAACCUUGUAAAUGAAGUCAUGCUUUGUCUGCAAACAGAGAAAGUACACAUGCCUGGUUUGG